GAUGGUGAAUGUAGUUCAAGGGAAGCAUUUUCUACCUGAUUACCUCCUUUGCCGAUGGAGGAUUCAACACUGAAUUUAAGACGGGUUAAUCGUCACAACAAUUUCUGUGUUUGCCUCGUGUAUUCCUAGGUAUUAUUUUUUUUCUAUUUGGGUUACGACGUGCCACGAAUAAUCGUUCGCUGAUGCUGCAGGUCUCAACCGAGCUAUUUCUUCCACGCGACGAAACGGUCUCUCUUUGCACAAUAUCGACGGAAAUUGCGUAACAUGAAGUAUAAGCUGUAAAUAUAUAUAAUAACCUCAUCGAGAAUUGAAAUAUGUCCGAGGCGUGACAAUUUGUUCAAGGUCAAUGAUAUCUUCACAACAAGAACAAUAGUAUGGGCCACGGUCAUCUUCACAAAUUACAAUAGCAUUUUUUUUUAUUUGGAAACAAAAUAUUAUUAUAGGCUAUUGAAAAUGUUAUGCGAAAUGUUAUAUGAAAGAACUAACAAGAGGACACCGGGCAUCCACUGAAGGAAAGCCAUGACAAGGUGGAUGGAUUAUAGGUAGAUAAGUUUAUUAAACAAAAAUUUGUGAAAGUGAAAUUGAAACAAUGUACAGACAACAAGUUUUAAUAAAAAUGAAAAUAGUAUUGUAAAAGUUACAAUACAUAAGUUUUUAUUGUAAUAAUAUAAUGUAUUGUAUGGAAACAUUUUGAUAAUCUUCAACGG